AGCAGCCGCGGUAAUUCCAGCUCCAAUAGCGUAUAUUAAAGUUGUUGCAGUUAAAAAGCUCGUAGUUGAAUUUCGGGAUCAAUAUUUCGGUCAUGCCGUUGGUAUGCAUUGUUAUCAUUGAUUUCUCACCUUCUAAAGAACCGUAAUGCCAUUAAUUUGGUGUUACGGGGAAUUAGGACUGUUACCUUGAAAAAUUAGAGUGUUUAAAGCAGGCUCACGCUUGAAUACAUUAGCAUGGAAUAAUGAAAUAGGACAUCCGAUUCUAUUUUGUUGGUUUCUAGGAUCGAUGUAAUGAUUAAUAGGGAUAGUUGGGGGCAUUAGUAUUCAAUUGUCAGAGGUGAAAUUCUUGGAUUUAUUGAAGACUAACUACUGCGAAAGCAUUUGCCAAGGAUGUUUUCAUUAAUCAAGAACGAAAGUUAGGGGAUCGAAGACGAUCAGAUACCGUCGUAGUCUUAACCAUAAACU
rnacentral:rRNA from 1 species